rnacentral:lncRNA from 1 species
GCAAGGGAACCCAUUAAUAUUUCUUUUUAUCUCCUAGUCCUUUCUCCAUUUGAAUGAAAGUCUGUGAUUGUGACUAAGAAUUAUCAUUAGUUCAAUCUCAAACUUCUCCUAAAUUAUAUUAUGUUAAAAAAUGGGUUCUUUAUAUUCCCCUUUUUCCCCUUAUGUCUAUUAAUCGUACAACCGCUCCUAUCCCAAUUGUGGUGGCUGGAUCAUGUUGAAUCACAUCUUUGUUGUAAAUUCCCUUUUUGCAAUCAACUACGGUGGCUUGUUCCUUAAUGAAAACAAUUCCCCCUAAUGAAAAGAUUACAACUUUGGAUGAAUAAACAUGACUGAUAUCAUAAAUAUCUAGAAAAAGUAGCAAUAAACUCAUAUGAUCUGGGUGGGGUUGGAUCUGUAAUGCUUCUCACAAAUAUUGAACAGAAAGAGAAUUCGAGGAAACAGACAUGAUGGGUGGCGAGAGAAAUUUGAUGGGGUCAGCACACUUUAAAACAGAAUUAAUUCUAACCAUUAAUUUAAUCUAAUAGCUAUUAUGUACUCCUCUCACCCUCUCAUUUAAAAU